GCGGAGGAGAUCGAAAUGGCGGUUUGUGCUUGAGGGCGGAAAUUAGCAUUUAAACGUUAUCACAACCUUCCUCUUGCUCGAGCCACUUCUCCUUCCAUCCUCCUCAGUCACACGUCAUUGUUUACCUGUGUUGACAGGAGGCGCGCGCUGGAAACGGGGGAACCGUUUCUCUUGCGGUAGAUUUUCGCCAGCCAGGAGCCCAAUGUGUUCGAGGGACUACCCACAAAGCAAACGCAAGAGUUCAGACCUGUUUCAGAUGCCCAGCAUUUGCAAUUUUUUAAACAAGAGUGAGCAGUACUGAUGUUUAGCCAGUAGGUGUCACAGAUAUUUACAUCAAGCACUCAGCAGGCAGAAUUGUCCCAGAUUUGCACUAAAGGCCACGAUGGCG